CGGUAACAUGUUUCUCAUCAACAACUGCUUGUUAAUUAUGAACGAACUCCGGAAGUAGGCGGCAGCAGGGAUGCCGAGAUAGCAGCGCCGACCAGCGAGGCGGUGUAUUCGCCGAGCACCGCUAAGGCGACGCCUGCACCGCUCGGCAGUGCCACCAGCACGCCUACCCACAGCGAGCGAAUUUCACACCUAAAAUUGAUUUUUACAUACCGCGACAUCAUCUCAUAUGUUGGCCAUUCUCUAACUCCGUAGUUCUCGUCUAUGGCGCAAAUGACCAAGCCGAAGACAAAACCGAUGACAAGUGCGAGGAACAGACCCAGCAUUUCGUG